rnacentral:rRNA from 1 species
GACGAACGCUGGCGGCGUGCUUAACACAUGCAAGUCGAACGGAAAGGCCCUGCUUUUGUGGGGUGCUCGAGUGGCGAACGGGUGAGUAACACGUGAGUAACCUGCCCUUGACUUUGGGAUAACUUCAGGAAACUGGGGCUAAUACCGGCUAGGAGCUCCUGCUGCAUGGUGGGGGUUGGAAAGUUUCGGCGGUUGGGGAUGGACUCGCGGCUUAUCAGCUUGUUGGUGGGGUAGUGGCUUACCAAGGCUUUGACGGGUAGCCGGCCUGAGAGGGUGACCGGCCACAUUGGGACGGAGAUACGGCACAGACGCCUAAGGGAGGCAGCAGUGGGGAAGAUUGCACAAUGGGCGGAGGCCUGAUGCAGCAACGCCGCGUGCGGGAUGACGGCCUUCGGGUUGUAAACCGCUUGCGCCUGUAACGAAGCGUGAGUGACGGUAAUGGGUAAAGAAGCACCGGCUAACUACGUG